UGGACACAAAAUUUUUAAGUCUUUUUCAAGUUCCGAAUCCACGGCGGACACCAGCGUGCAGCCCGGUCCUGAGAGCCAGGCCAGGAAAUCAGGUGAAUUCUCCAGCAAUCAGACCGAAUCUGUGCACUUAAAGGACAAACUUCAGGAAAACCGAAUGCAGGGAGACCGCAGGACGUUAGCGGAGGACGACGCACAAUACACGGAGAAAACGCCGACUAACCAGCAGCCCGAGAUUGAGGAGGAAACUUCUCUGGAUCUGCUCAUUGAGGAUCAGGACGUCUUGCUGGAGAAGUUGGACAAUUGGAAUUUCCCGAUCUUCAAUCUGAUGGAGAAGACCGGAGGAAAGUGCGGGAGGAUCCUGAG